rnacentral:rRNA from 1 species
AUUGAACGCUGGCGGCAGGCUUAACACAUGCAAGUCGAACGAGUGGCGGACGGGUGAGUAAUGCAUGGGAAUCUGGCUUAUGGAGGGGGAUAACUACGGGAAACAGUAGCUAAUACCGCGUACCAUAGGAUGAGCCCAAGUGGGAUUAGGUAGUUGGUGGGGUAAAGGCUCACCAAGCCGACGAUCCCUAGCUGGUCUGAGAGGAUGACCAGCCACACUGGGACUGAGACACGGCCCAGACUCCUACGGGAGGCAGCAGUGGGGAAUAUUGGGCAAUGGGGGCAACCUGACCCAGCCAUGCCGCGUGAAUGAUGAAGGCCUUCGGGUUGUAAAGUUCUUUCGGUAGAGAGGCGUUAACUGCAGAAGAAGCACCGGCUAACUCCGUGCCAGCCGCCGCGGUAAUUC